UUAGAAUAAAACGUUCAAUUAAUUUAACAACUGAAUUAUUGAUUGUUCCCUUUUUUUAAUUUUUAAAAAGUGUUGCUGUAUUUGAACACGACAUUUAAAUCUUUAAAGCAAAAACAACAUUUACAUUUGUCCACAAAUUCUAAACAAAUUCACAUUUUAACACAACUUUUGAGACAAAACGACAACAAAAAGACACAAAACAACCACAGAGACACAAGACAACAACAAAGACAAACAAAAGAACCACAGAGAGACACAACACAACAACAGAGACACAAAAAAACCACAAGGAGACACAACAGAACAACAGAGACACAAAACAACCACAAAGAGACACAAAACAACAACAAAGAGACACAAAACAACAAAGAGACACAAAACAGCAACAGAGACACAAAACAACCACAAAGAGACACAACACAACAACAAAAACACAAAACAACCACAAAGAGACACAACACAACAACAAAGACACACAAAACAACAACUGAGACACAACACAACCACAAAGAGACACAACACAACCACAAAGAGACACAACACAACCACAGAGACACAAAACAACCACAAAGAGACACAACACAACAACAAAGACACACAAAACAACAAGAGACACAAAACAACAACAAAGAGACACAAAACAACCACAAAGAGACACAACACAACAACAAAGAAACACAAAACAACAACAGAGACACAAAACAACCACAAAGAGACACUAAACAACAGAGACACAACACAACCAUAAAGAGACACAACACAACAACAAAGAGACACAAAACAACCACAAAGAGACACAACACAACCAUAAAGAGACACAAAACAACCACAAAGAGACACAACACAACCAUAAAUAGACACUAAACAAUGAUGUGAAAUCCUAUUAAUUUACUUGAACAUGAAUUUAAAUCCAAAUCAACUGUUGCAGGAGUUUUGAUUUUAAUUACAGAAUUAGUUGAUGCAACGUUUCAACACCAACCAUCUAAAUAAUGUUUAAAGUUUGUUCUCCGUCAGUAAAUUAAUUGUUUAAAUCUUUUAAUGAAGCGGCAGGAACAUGAUCAGAUCUUCAUGCUGGUUCUGAUGUUCAUGUUGAAGAAGAUCAGACGUAGGAAAGCUUCUGUAACCCGGGUGAUAAAACCCUAGUUAGAAAUAUAAAUAAAUAAGUAUAUCCUCCAUUCCCGUCUCCAAAACUGUCCUGUCAAAUGCGUAAUGACGUCAUACGUCACGCUGCGCGUCCUGUCACGUGACGGUGCGCGGCCAAUCGGGUUGUUUUAUAUCCGGAAGUCACUCGCGAGCCGCGAGCUUCGAGAGGGGGAUGUGUUGGGAACAUUUGCUGCAAGGAGCCAACUACCGGAGCCGCCAGGCGUCGUGUGGAGUCGCGGGUGUUGAUUAAAGAAGGAAUUGGCCAGGUGAUGGCGAGCUAGACCCAAAGAAUUAUAGGCCCACACUGCCUGAAGAACCCUGGAGCUCGAACUGAAGUGAACUGAACUGGACCUCCUGCACCUCCUCCACCUGGUUGGGCUGGUAGGAGGCUCCUUUAAGGCAGCCGCCCCUCUCUUUUACUUUUUGCCCCUCGCAACAACUCAUUCUUGGCCCAAACCCAUUCACCACUCGUUCAACACUCCCUUUCCCUGGACACCGCCCUUUCCCUCUGAACUCUGGACGAUUUGGGCCACUGAACUGUUGCGUGUGUUCUGUCUUGGCUGAACUUCAGAACUCUUUUCCGUGUGUUAAUGGAUCCAUCGAAUAAUGUUUUCUUGUGAAAUAAUUGUGACUUAAUUCUGUACUUCUCAUGAAUGGCCAUUCACUUUAAAUGUUAAAUGUUGUUUGUCUAUGUCAAAAUAUAAUAUAAUUGGUACCACCUAAAACUUA